rnacentral:rRNA from 1 species
GACGAACGCUGGCGGCACGCUUAACACAUGCAAGUCGAACGGAGAUAUCGGAGCUUGCUUUGAUAUCUUAGUGGCGGACGGGUGAGUAACACGUGAGGAACCUGCCUCUGAGUGUGGGAUAGCUUCUGGAAACGGAUGGUAAUACCGCAUGACAUUAUUGAAUCGCAUGGUUUGAUAAUCAAAGAUUUAUUGCUCAGAGAUGGCCUCGCGUCUGAUUAGAUAGUUGGUGAGGUAACGGCUCACCAAGUCGACGAUCAGUAGCCGGACUGAGAGGUUGGACGGCCACAUUGGGACUGAGACACGGCCCAG